UACGUAGGUGGCAAGCGAUACUCGGAAUCACUAGGCGUAAAGCGCAGGUAGGAGGUUUGGUAAGUCUAUUGUGAAAGCUCCCGGCUUAACUGGGAGAGGUCAAUUGAAACUACUAGGCUAGAGUGCGGUAGAGGUAGCUGGAAUUCCCGGUGUAGCGGUGAAAUGCGUAGAUAUCGGGAGGAAUACCUAUGGCGAAAGCAGGCUACUGGACCGUCACUGACUCUGAUCUGCGAAAGCUAGGGGAGCAAACAGG
rnacentral:rRNA from 1 species